ACGGGUGAGUAACGCGUGGGAAUCUACCUAGUUCUACGGAACAACACAGGGAAACUUGUGCUAAUACCGUAUACGCCCUACGGGGGAAAGAUUUAUCGGAAUUAGAUGAGCCCGCGUAAGAUUAGCUAGUUGGUGGGGUAAUGGCCUACCAAGGCGACGAUCUUUAGCUGGUCUGAGAGGAUGAUCAGCCACACUGGGACUGAGACACGGCCCAGACUCCUACGGGAGGCAGCAGUGGGGAAUAUUGGACAAUGGGCGCAAGCCUGAUCCAGCCAUGCCGCGUGAGUGAUGAAGGCCUUAGGGUUGUAAAGCUCUUUCAGUGGGGACGAUAAUGACGGUACCCACAGAAGAAGCCCCGGCUAACUUCGUGCCAGCAGCCGCGGUAAUACGAAGGGGGCUAGCGUUGUUCGGAUUUACUGGGCGUAAAGCGCACGUAGGCGGAUCGUUAAGUCGGGGGUGAAAUCCUGGAGCUCAACUCCAGAACUGCCUUCGAUACUGGCGAUCUUGAGUCCGGAAGAGGUGAGUGGAACUCCUAGUGUAGAGGUGGAAUUCGUAGA
rnacentral:rRNA from 28 species